CCAGUCCUUUGUGUUGCGGGAGGCAGCUGACAAGGAUGGCGGAGAAAUGUUAUGUUCCUGGCCCCCCUGGAUGGUGCCAGAUGGUGUGCCUUCUGUUUCCUCUACGGAAAUCUAGCCAUGGAAGGGAGCUGGUUGAAGUUUGCAUCCUCUGUGGUGUUAGCCAGGAACCACUAUGAGCAAGUCUGCAAGAAAGUUUAAGGAAGAAAGAUGUCUUUGAUUUUGCAUUUUCUUUACUCUGAUACUUGAAGAAAGUGAGGCUUAGAGGAUGCCUUCUACACCAUUAGAAACUUCUCAGUUGCCAUUAUGCACACUCACUUGAACAGUCAGUGCUUAUGGUGGAGUGCCCAGUGGCGCGUUGUGUUCAUGACUGCAUCCUGACGUGAUGGCCCCCUGUAUUCAAGUUGGGCAUGAAGUGGACAACAUGAUUUUAAUUCUGUGCCUUUGGAACAUAACCCUGUCUACAUCGGUCUACCUGAGAAAACUACACUGAAAAUUACUACAUUAAGAUUUGUUAGCAUGAAAACAUGACCAGUACCUGAGAACCCUGGUCGCCUUCCUUCAGCUGCAGCAACGCUAUCAGUGCCAUUUCUGCAGAUGACCUCACAACCUGGUUCUUCUCCUUGGUGCCAUUUACCAACAUGGGAAUCAGUGGCUUGGCAAUCUCCAUAGGUAGCAAGGAACCUCCAGAACCCGCUAAAUUCUCUGCUGUGUACUGGCAAGUUCGACACAUUCCCUGCUUCACCUCAUUGCUACUGUGGUUGAUCAGCUAGUAAAGAAAGUUUUGAAUUAAUUGCUAGAAAUUUGUUAGUCUCAAACUUAAGAUAUUGAUAAUUUACAUGAAAAUUCAUUAAGUUUGUGAUACUUCUCAGCCUUUGAAUUUCCAUUUCAGCUCCCUGCCUAUUAAAGUGAUUUCAGCUUUGUAUUUUAAUAAAUAGAUGCAUUGUACAUACACACGUCAAAAUCCAAAAAUGAUAAUAAAAGGAAUCAUUAUCCAUGCUUGGAAAAUAUUUCCUGGUAAGCAUAAGGUGGUCACCUUGGCAAAAGUCUGUAGAAGUCCAGAUGGCACAGGAUCUCCAGUAGAGAGUUGGUGGCUCAUGAAAAAGGCCACUCCAGACAGUGCAUUUUCUACAAGGGCCAAGCGGUCAGAUGAAAGGUAAGAGAGCAAGGUGGACGAGAUCUGGUCUGGAGUGGCCACCUCAAGGAUCUUUGAUGGAGCAGACUUUAAGACAGAGAAGAGAGCUGCCGAUCUCCCAUGGCGAACUGUCCAGUCUGCAUUACUGUUAUCCUCUGUAAUCAAACAUGCAUUACUGUUACGUGCUCCAGGUUCAUUCUAAUUCUUAAGUAUUGGUAACUACAAGAAAAAAAUUGUUCACUAUUGCACCACACAAAUGUGGUUAUAGUCAUGGGGAUGCUUAAUUUACCCAGGACAUGGUGGUUGAGGAGAGGCCGCAGCUCCUCUGAAGGCAGCCACGGCACCAAUACUCCCAGUGCCCCAGCAGCACACAGCCGGGUGGAGUCAUCAUCAUGGCACCCACCCUUUGAAAUUCAGGCUUACCUAGUGGGAGUAUCAUCAGCCGCCUUGACGGCAUUGUGGAGUUCAGUGAAGAGUGGGUCAGGCUUGGUGUGGAUGGUGAUGAGGUGAGCAAGGGCAGCCCCUGCACGCAGCCGCACACCUCGGUGAGCAUCAUGCACUGCCUUGACAAAUGUUGUCUGGAGUUGUGGGAGGAAGGGCUUCAGCAUAACUCCAGUCUGUGGGAGAGAACAAUAGUGCAAACCUAUCUCCAAGGAUCCUGAUGAGGGGACCUGUUACAUGUACCACUGAUGGCUUGAGUGCAUCUGAACUGGUAAGGCGGAUCACCUCUGACAAACCAUUAGCUGCUGCUUCCUUCAACUCUGGCUCCCCAUUAAGAACUGCUUCUCGGAAGAUGGGCAGAAUAGGCUGGAUGCCUGUUUGACAAACAAAAAACCUCAAAUACAUUAUCUAUCUACAUAUUGUAUCCAGUUAUACAUAUAAGUAUGUCACUUCUUAGAUGUUUACAAGCAGUCUUUAGCCUUUAGGAAUGUCUCCUUCACUCACUCACCUUUAGGAAGACAAAAACCAGGCAUAAGUUCUUCUCCCUUGAGGUCUGAUGCAGCAAAUUUAACGGCUUGUCGCACAUCUGCCACCAGAGAGCGCUGGUCUGCUGCAUCAAGACUCUGUUCAACAAUAUGUUGCAUCAAUAACCAUAAUGUCUAAUUACUAAAAAUAAAACAAAAAAAGGUAUGUUUAUUUGA